ACUUUAUGGUUUGGGCAUUGCAUGAGCUUGUCUUUAAACCUUUGACAUUCUUCAUACAAGGGCUCACCUCUAAGUUGAAAAAAAAUUAUGAUCUCGUCCUUAGUU
rfam:Capsicum annuum cultivar Zunla-1 chromosome 9, whole genome shotgun sequence